CAAUUCACGAUUUACAGUAAAUGCUUGUCUUUUUUGUGGUUCAUAUAAAUUACAGUACCUAGUAGUUCUGAAUUUACAAAAGGAUUUCACUCACCUCUUUUUUUUUACUUCUGAUUUCACUCUGUUCUUCCUCCUAUCCUCCUUCCUGCUGACAAAACGGUUACCUGGACACCGGCACACCGCUUUCCAUGAGCUGGGAAAGACAAUGACUCAAUGGACAAGCCUUAACUUUACUGAUUUCACUCGCCACGAAACUGGAAGCGUUGUCCUGACACCUGACCAACAAUCAGCUCGAAAGGGAUACACAUGCAUGCAGCAGCAAGCAUCGCCGUCGGCGAUCGACAAUCUACGGCGGCGGCGUGCCGAUUCACACCGCCAUUGUCAGCAGCGCGGACACGAGGCACAGGCAGGCGGCGGCGAGCCCCGCGCCCGCGCGGCCCAGGAGGCGGGCGGCGCCGGAGCUGUCGUCGUCCGUGUCCGGCGGCGGCGGCGGGACGAGGAGCACGUUGAUGGCGAGCUUCUGGCCGGCCUCGCAGUGCUCGCCGACGCCGCAGAAGUAGAAGCGCUCGCCGGGGUCGGUGAGCUCGAUGAUGGUGGGCCCGCACUGGUACCGGCUGGUGAUGUUGCGCAUGCUGCACGCGUCGAACAGCUCCCGCGUCGGCACCUCCACGAUGUUGUGCACCCCGCUCCGGUACAGGAACACUGGCAGGCAGGUAGCAGAAUGAAGGAAAAAGCUAGGGUGACGUGCGUCGUGGUGAUCGAUCAAAAAGCUAGGGUGGGCCGCCUUACUCAGCUUGUCGCCUAUGCUGAUCUGCCUGGUGUGCGCCCAGUCCUCGUAGUACGUCCUGUUGGGGGGCAUCCGCCACCCUUUGCCGGCGCCGACGAUGUGGUAUAUCCCGGCGGUCGAGCCGGCGACGAGGGACGCCAUGACGGCUGAGAGGAGCAACAAGGCGUGCCGGCUCCUCCUGCGUUCCAUGCUUGACCACCAACCCUGCUGCUUCUCGUUUCUUUCUUAUUAGCUCUGCUAGCUAGCCCCCUGUUCC
rnacentral:misc_RNA from 1 species